rnacentral:lncRNA from 15 species
AUGGACGUUUUCCCUCAUGGUUUAGUUUGUUUCAGCAUUCUUGUUCUAUUUUUACAACCUCUCACCUAUGAAACGUUUACUUUUUAUAUAUUUAUAUAUAUAUUUUUGUGUGUUUUAAAGUCUUUCUCUGGUCCUGCUAUACACCGACUGUAUGUGCGACCGACUGCAGUGGUGACAGUUACUACAUUACGAACUGUACAAGCACUGUAUGCUACCUUUUUGGUUAAGAACACACACACACACACACACACACAGUCCAGGCUCAGUACAUUAUCUUUUAUGGCACAACAGCAACAUCAAUGCCUGCUCAUCCCCCCAUGGUGCAUCAAAAGCUUCAAAACCCACUGCACCGAGGCAAAAGACUGUACUUGGAAUGAAAAAAAAAGAAGCAUGUAAUAGAUUUUCCUAUUGCUGUUUCUAUCUUUACUGCCCCAACAUAUAUAUAUAUAUAUAUAUACACUUUAGCAGAACUGCAUGUCAUAAAAUGUCUCCUGAAAAUUACAAUCAUAAAUAACUAAAUUGCAUUGGCGUUUUGUAUGACCUAAUGCAGGUUUAUGUUGAACCACAGACUGUAUAAUAAAUUGCUCCUGGCUAAUCCAAAAAUGGACAAAACCGCGUAGAGCGUGGGUGGAGCCGAGGUGGACCGAACGAGGCGUGGUUGCUAAAAUCAGCCACCAUUGAUGGCUCCCACCUGUCACUCAAAGGGGGCACAUCCUUAAUUAUUCAUAACCAAGCCUCAAUAUAAUUUAAACCGAACCAAAAAAAUCACCAAUCGUACAGUUGUCAUCAAUAGGGAAUUUGGCUACAGAGACCAAAACUGUUGUGUAUAUAUAAUAAUAAAACAUGUUUGUUUCUGUUUAUUUCUGGCAUUGUAAUACGGAGGUUUAUGGAGAUUGACUCGCUUUUGGAGCCAGCCUUAAGUGGCCAUUCGAGGAACUGCAGCUCUUCUUCCAGGUUGGCUUCAUUAAACAGCCAUGGAGGUUGCCACUUGUGUUGAACAUAUCUGCAAAAUAUUUACUGUCAAACUAUUGUAUUUACUUCCCUACAAACUACACUCGUGGCAAAUAAUGCGUGAUCCAUUUCUAUAGUUAUGUUUAUAUGUGAAUAUGUUGGACCAAACAAUGUUGCAAAAGGAAGGCAGUGUAGUAAUUUGAAUGCAGUUCACACCAUCAGAGGAUUCUGUCAAGUCAAAGAGUUGAUAGAAGAAUAGAUACUGUUGAUACUGAGUGUUCUUUAGAUUAGUUGACGUGGCACUAUUUACCAAGUUUACUAAUUUUGCUUGCAAAAUGUGCUAGCUUCCGAGACUUGAACAGUUCACUGUAAUCACACUAGGAUAUCACAACACAUCUUUUUCUGGUGAUGUACGAAUUAUAUAUAUGUGAUAAAUGCUUAACCUGUACAUACUGACUCCGGACCUUUAUGUAACAUACUGUAUUUGUAACACACUAUAAAGAGAUGCAGUUAAUUCAUGUGCACAGCAAAUUAUAGCCCAUAUUCGGACACGGCAAGUUGGCAUGGAAUUGUAGAACCAUUUCGGAAGAGUUUAAUAGUGUCAAACACACCUCUCAGUCUGUAUUUCCAGUUUUGUGUUUAAUAAUUACAAAAAGACUUUAUUUGUAUAGUACCUUUCAUACAAACACAAUGUAACAUAAAGUGCUGUACUUUUGGACAUUUUCACUUUGAAUUGCACUGCACUAGUUUAAAUUUAGGUUUUGAGGUCUUUAGGUGUUGUCACACCUCAGAAAUAACUCUGACUUCUGAAGUUGUGAAGAUAAAUAAACCCCAAAAUAUACUUUUAAUAAUGUGCAAUGACAUCAUUGUCAGUGACAAAAAUCAGCUGCUCUGAGAGACGGCUCAGCGUCUCACAUUUAAUGGUGAUUAAAGGAAAACAAUGUUGCCAGUUUGUUUCACUUCUCAGCAGCAUUUCACUUUGGUUCUUUGUUCAACAAGAGACUAAAUGAGCUACAAGCCUGAUUCUAAUCCUAUUUGGAGUUUGAUGUUCUUAUUGUCACUUUUCUCUAAAAGGUUAAAAUCAGCUCUUGGAAUAAGAAAGACUGAUUUGUUUCUGGCCGAGCUGACUGCAGGCUUUUAGACUCACACAACCCAGAUGCCAGUGAUUUUCAGUUGCAGGCCACAAUACAACAGCUGCAAAACUGGCUUCAGGCUGUGCUGGAGGAACGAGCAACACAGGCAGCUUGUAUCCACAUGACAAACAUUGAGAUAUUGAGAUGGAGAAUUACAGAUGUACAAAUGACCUGAAGACAAACUGAUAAGUAAAUUGAAAUGUACUUUUGUACUCAGAUGUGUUUCUUUAGGGUUAUAUUAAUGGUGCUUUGUUUUUAAAGAGGUCCUGUGGAGUUUUCUUGUAAAUCAACAAAAGUUAUGUUUACAUUCAGUGUUACUCACCAAAGUGCAUUGUGGGUAUCCUUUAGCUCUAGCAAAUAUUUUAAAAGUAUUUCCUUCCUCAUAAAACAUUUGCAAAGCCUAUUUUAAAUUUGGUAAAUUAAAUUUUGCAUUGUUUAUAUCCAUGUUUACUAGCUUGCAGUCUUCUUCUGUGCCUUUGCUGGUGCAUUGCUGCAAAUCUUGGCGUGUUACCACCAAAAAAUGUGUACUAUGUCAACCAUGUGUACAUGAACUGGCAUAUUCAUCUUCAUACGCUUCCACAGACUAACAAAACUAAGACCCACUCAUAGAAAACAGCUCCAUAGCGCUACUAGAGGUAAAAAACUCCACAGGGAAACUUUAGAGAAAAUAGUUGGCCAAAAUAUUAUACGUCAACCAACCAUGUGGUAGACUUUUCUCUGUGAUCCAAGCUAUAAAAAAAGUGUGUAACAGUGUGGUAUACAGCAAUACGUGUGAAAUAAAAUCAUUACUAUUAAAACAGGUAACUACAGCUACUACAGUAGUAGUUCUCAGUGGGAUCAGUUAGGAAAAGUUAAAGGUAACUUACUGUCUGGCCUGCCAGAGAGAGCAGCGUGUUCUCUCUGCCAGUGUGUGCUCAGGCCUGAGACAUGAAGUAUCCGGAGGAUUCCAGUCCUAGUUGGCUGCAACAGGAAGCAGCAGCAUUUUAGACAAGAUAUUUAUAGAAAGAAUAGAAACAUUCACCCACUGAUACAUAGUCUAACAUGACUGGAUCACAUUUGCAGACAUUUAACA